rnacentral:rRNA from 1 species
UAGGGAAUCUUCCACAAUGGGCGCAAGCCUGAUGGAGCAACGCCGCGUGUGUGAUGAAGGGUUUCGGCUCGUAAAACACUGUUGUAAGAGAAGAAUGACAUUGAGAGUAACUGUUCAAUGUGUGACGGUAUCUAACCAGAAAGGGACGGCUAACUACGUGCCAG